CUAAAAUAAUUGUUACGGAUACUUAGUUUUAAGUUAGGUAUAUAAGUUAGGUAAAUAAGUUAGGUAUUAAGUUUUGAUUUGUUAGUUAUAUUUUAUUGAUUAUUGACUCAGUUUACCUACCAUUAUUGUUGUAAUAAACGUUUAGGUACUGAAAAUAAAUAUAUGUAUAAUAAAGAAGUAUUAUUUUGAGUUUAUGUUAUAAAAGAAUUCUUUUAUGUUAUUGUUACGAUUGUUACCUAUUGUUUUAUAUUUUAUUAAAAGGAAUGUUUAGUUUUAAGAAGAAAUAUGUAAUAUUAUGUUAAGCUUUUUUACUCAAUAAACCAUGGUGCGGGGGCGCGCUGCCGCGCUAGCAUAUAAAUGGGUGGUACGCCGUAAGCGGCACCUCACUUCGACUCCAGCCGCCCACGCAGCAACAACUGAAGAAAUCGAGCAUUUUCACUGAAUAGGAAUUACCCCUAAUCCCUCUCAAUAAUAUAAUCAAUAUCCUAAAAAUAAUCAUUAUUAUGUGUCUAAAAAAGUAAACACUAAUAAAUGUGUACUUAUAUUUAAGGUAUAGGUAUAUUAUAGGUAGCUAUUUAAAUAAAUAAUAGUUUAUUCUUAAGAUAAUAAUGUAGGUUUAAAAUUAAGAAAUAUUUUUUCAAAUACCAUAUAUUUUGUAAUCUGAUCCUAAAUUCACUAAGUCAAUAGUUUAUGUGGUCGCAUCGUCCGGUAGAUAAGAAUACAUGCUACGCCGAACUAACCUGCACUGGUAAUGACAUUCGGACUAGAAUUGCUCGAGCUUCUCGAUAGUUACUUUGUACAUUCAUGGCUCAAAUACGAUCGAACGGUCUUGUUUGAUUCUUAUCUACCUCACUUUUGUAACAUUAGAAAUAUUAGAAUAACUUUUUUUCCGCCUGUUAUUUUAUUUUGCUGUUUAAUAAAUUAAUUAUUAAAUUGAUUUGUUAAGUAGAUUAGUUUAUUAACUUAUUGGGAAAGAGCGUUCAUCCCUAAUACAGGUUCUGCGAACUUAAAAGGGAUGUACUUUAAUAUAGAUUAAGACUAUUUACUUAAUAAAGAAAUUUUUGUUUUUUUUUUUUUUUUUUUUUGACACAAUGUGAAGCCCGCGCCGUAGAAACAGCGGAUCGGACUGUGACGUCACGGAAAAUUCCACGGCUUGCGGCUAGCAACCGCAUCCGCCGCCGCCGCUGCCGCCACUUCGUGACGUCACGGAAAAUUCCAAGCGCAGACAACAUCCGCCGCCGCCGCUGCCGCCACUCCCCACUACAGAGGCCAUGGGAAAUAGUUGGCGCAAUCAAAAAAAUAUAUUUUACUGUGAUAAAUACGUCUGAUUACAUUAAAAGGACUUUUAUUUCUAUGUAAAAAAAAACCUGUACGGAAUGUGUUGGGAAUUUCGCUUAGGGAUUCCCCACAGACUGCAGUCUGAAGCGCCGGCGGCAAUACUCGUGGGAUCGUCCUGGUAAGUUCUCCUAGCUCUCAGGGCGGUGUCUUAGUAGUCCGGAUACGCCUUGCUAAGAGUCUAGUGGGACUGCUAAGGUAUAAGGUCACCGCACAUAUAAGCGUUACGUAAAGAAAUCAAUGAUAAAAUUUUCUUCUGUCAACCAGUAGAACGCGCGAGCUUGCGAACGCCUGGUUGACAGAAGAAAAAAGGAGAUUCCUUUACGUUACGAUUAUAUACCUAUGCUGAGACCAUAAGACCUCGAAUAUUCCACCCGUGCUUACUCUCCCCCUCUUCCCCUCCUAUUCCUAUUAUUAUUAUCAUUAGGGUGUCGAGAAUACGAUACUAGAUUGAGAGAUUCAGAACGGUUCAUAAACAGACGAUAGUCCCGCGAUUAAGUGACGUAUCGUUCUAUUGGCGGGACAAUCGACU